rnacentral:lncRNA from 1 species
UAUUUCAUUUUUCUUAAUGAAGUAUUGUUAGAUUUUAAAAUAUUUUGUUAUGUAUAUAAUAUAAGGUUCUUGAUAAGAUUUGUGGUAUUGAGGUUAUUACAAAAUUAAGGUAUUGACUUUGUUGCUUCUAUAUUAAGGUUGUGUAGUAGCAACCUUAUCCAUGUAAUUUCUUUUAUUUUUAUUUUUGACAUCACCAAUAAAGAUUUAAGUUCUUUUUUCUAUAUGAUUGAUAUAUUCUUAAGUUAGAUGAAAAUAUUGCUAGUUGAUUUUUGUUUGUUUGAAUCAUAUACUUAAUUUGAGUUAAAAAAUGUACUAAGUUGCAUGUUAUUUUAUUAUAGAAAGAAGAUGCCUAUGUCACUUGUCUUUUAAAGGUAUUAUAAGACUUUCUUUGCAGUACUUGUGUAAGCUUGGAGUAAUUUGGUCAUAAAUUAAUUAAUGAUAUUUACUACAUCUGAUAAAUUUGACUUGGUAUUUAUUACAAAUAU